CUCCUCCUAAAGAGUAACGGAGGAGCACGAAGGUUGGCUAAUCCUGGUCGGACAUCAGGAGGUUAGUGCAAUGGCAUAAGCCAGCUUGACUGCGAGCGUGACGGCGCGAGCAGGUGCGAAAGCAGGUCAUAGUGAUCCGGUGGUUCUGAAUGGAAGGGCCAUCGCUCAACGGAUAAAAGGUACUCCGGGGAUAACAGGCUGAUACCGCCCAAGAGUUCAUAUCGACGGCGGUGUUUGGCACCUCGAUGUCGGCUCAUCACAUCCUGGGGCUGAAGUAGGUCCCAAGGGUAUGGCUGUUCGCCAUUUAAAGUGGUACGCGAGCUGGGUUUAGAACGUCGUGAGACAGUUCGGUCCCUAUCUGCCGUGGGCGCUGGAGAACUGAGGGGGGCUGCUCCUAGUACGAGAGGACCGGAGUGGACGCAUCACUGGUGUUCGGGUUGUCAUGCCAAUGGCACUGCCCGGUAGCUAAAUGCGGAAGAGAUAAGUGCUGAAAGCAUCUAAGCACG
rnacentral:rRNA from 1 species